AACAAGUUAGAUGACGUGAAGUUUCCUUAGGUUUUGCUGAAAGGUGAUUUUUGUUACUCUGUUAGGACUAUUAACAAUAGCCAAAGUUGAAAAGGUUUGAAACAAAUAAUUUCUUCCUUUCAUUAGAAAAUUAUACUUGCCCUAUGUAAUUUGCUAAGUAGCAAGAAAUUAAUUAAAAUAUCAUAUCUGCUUGUUAACAUAAAAUUGGCACACCAUAGUCAAUUUUCCUUAAGACCAGCAGAUAUUUUAAUUUCAUUUAUAGUAAGAAUUAACAUCAAUGUAUAUCACACAAGCAUUUAAACAUUUAUUUAUUAAAGGAACAUUGAAAAUAAGCUCUUCUACCCAAUUGCUAUUCUUUGCCUUAACAGCAGAUGGGAGCAUUAAACUAAAGAGAUGAUUUUGUCACUAACUCUGAAGACUUUCUGGAUUUUAUCAACCUAGUUGAGAAAUUCAGGGGAAAACUGAGCUAAUCUUGGCAGCAUAAAACUCUACCAGAUUUUCCUGGGAAAGUUUUAACAGAACUUAUUAUGUGUAUUGAAUGUCACUGUUAGCUCUAUUUGGCAUUAGUAGCUCAACAUGAUAUGACAUAAUAUAUUGUAUAUCCCAUAUGGAUGUAAAGACAUUUCCAAAUCACCAAAAAGAAAAGAAAAAGAUGUUUUUAAAAUAAACAUUGGCAAGGAAUAAGUAAAAAUAAUAGGGAAAAUAUGAAUCAUAACCAUCUGUAUUUGUGGCUUAAAAUGGUAAAAAAAAUUGCUUCAACCAAAAUUUUAGACUUGCUUCAUAAUUAUAUACAAGGUACUGAAAUUUCAGCAGCUAUUAACUAUGAAUCAGCUUAGGAAUUGCCAAAACAAAACCUGGUCUCAAUUCUUAAGGCAUUAGCUGUGUAUUGUGGUUAAAUACAACUUUAGUUCUUGACAAUUAGUAUGAUAGUUUGCCAGUAAUUGAGUAAAUAAAUAAUAAGUUUCUAAGCAUCUGCAAAAAUUUUUGCAAACAACAAAUGAUGUACUGUUCAGUAAUUUAUAUUUUUGUGAGAUGGUGAAAUUUUUAUUUUCUCAAAGCCAAGAUAUUUAAAAUGUCUAUUGAAAGAGGCCUGCUACCGAGUAGGCAAGUAGUUCAAAAUUAGUUUUUGCCGCCUAGUGGUCAAGAGGCCUUUUAGUGGUCCUAAGAUUUUUCCAUCUGGGCACUACAUGCAGCCACAAAAGAUCACCUUUUCGAGGUCCCGUUGCUAUAUCAUCUCUCUGUCUAGGGUAAUAAUAAUUUAGGUUUGUGUUUAAAUGAGUUGAAAUGUUUAGCUGAUUUAGUAAAUGUUCACCAAAAAGAAUUUCAAAACCUAGACUCUAGAAAGUACUGCAAUUGCUUCCCCACCUCAUUUCCAUUUAUGUGUUCUGAUACAAAUUUAAUGAUAUUGUACAAGACACUUGAUCUACUCAAGAAGUUUUAAAAAUCCAUUCUUUUUUAUGUUACAAUUUCUCAAUGUAGUUUACAGCUAACGAAGGAAAGCUUCAUUUUUUAAUUGCAAUUUUAAGUAGGCAAAUAAUUUGUUUAUUUAGAAAAUUUAUUCUAAUUCCUCCCCUAUGUCUGAAACACAUAUAUGAGAACAUGGGAUAUAUUUUCUAUAUACAUUUCCUAAGCUUUUAAAACAGCAUUUCUUAAUUCUUAGUGAAUAUAAAAGCUGAAUACCAAAAUGCUUAUCUCAGUGGAAAUGAAGUAGGCCUAUUUGAAUGGUGUUACGGAAAAUAUAUUUAAUAGAAGAGCAAACAGUCAUUUACACAUUGGUGUGAAGAGUAAUAACAGCUGGGAAGUAUCCCAAGAUUGAACAGAAAGUUCAAAGAGGUUCCAUGACCCUCAAAAUAAUUCAUUGCAACUGGAACUGACUAGCACACUUUACAAAUAUUUUCACCAUGCUUUCCACUAAUCACUGAUUGUGGUAAAGAUAUUUUUACGCAAUUUAGAAGUGUGGUAAAUACAAAUCUGACACUUAAUUUUGUAUGUUUUCUAAUGAGGCAUUGUGAAAGGAUGAAAAAAAUGAUAAUGUUAUGGAGUUAAUGGCCAAUUUACAAAAAUUACCAUUCUGA
rnacentral:lncRNA from 1 species